rnacentral:rRNA from 1 species
UACGAAGGGGGCUAGCGUUGCUCGGAAUCACUGGGCGUAAAGCGCACGUAGGCGGAUUGUUAAGUCAGGGGUGAAAUCCUGGAGCUCAACUCCAGAACUGCCUUUGAUACUGGCGAUCUUGAGUCCGGGAGAGGUGAGUGGAACUCCGAGUGUAGAGGUGAAAUUCGUAGAUAUUCGGAAGGACACCAGUGGCGAAGGCGGCUCACUGGCCCGGUACUGACGCUGAUGUGCGAAAGCGUGGGGAGCGAACAGG